UGGGGUAUCGCCAAGCGGUAAGGCACCGGUUUUUGAUACCGGCAUCCCUUGGUUCGAAUCCAGGUACCCCAGCCA
rnacentral:tRNA from 1 species